rnacentral:rRNA from 1 species
GACAGAGGGGGCGAGCGUUGUCCGGAGUCACUGGGCGUAAAGCGCGCGCAGGCGGCAACCUAAGUGUCGUGUGAAAGCCCCCGGCUCAACCGGGGGAGGCCAUGGCAAACUGGGUCGCUCGAGCUGCGGAGAGGCCCCUCGAAUUGCCGGUGUAGCGGUGAAAUGCGUAGAGAUCGGCAGGGAGACCAAGGGGGAAGCCAGGGGGCUGGCCGCAGGCUGCCGCUGAGGCGCGACAGCGUGGUGAGCAAACCGG